rnacentral:lncRNA from 1 species
ACAGUCUCAGCGGCUGCUGCUCCUGACGGGCACGCGUGAUGCCCAGUCUGGAGGGUUCGCUGCAAUCAGUGCUACAGCUUUAGAAACUGUGAUUUACUGCUGAUUUAAAACUCUUUAAAGAGCCGACUUCCUGCCGAUGGGGCUGAGGGAAGAGCGGCAGGCGCAGUGCUGGCAGAGACUCCGGCAGGGCCUCGUGCGGGGGCCGGGAGCAGCGCCUUCUUUUUAGGAAACGACGCUUCAGGCUCAGGCCCGUCCAUGCUCCUCUCCCGUGUGAGUGCAGAGAAGGUCCUGGGUUCUGUCUGCUGCUUCACUCUGGGGUGCGGCCUAGGAUUCUUCUGGAAGAAGUGGUCUGUUUGAUUCCAACAGCAGUGACAGCCCAGCUCCUGUUACAGAAGUGGAAAACCAAAUCUGCCACCAGGGACUGGCGUGUGAAUUAAACAUCCACUUGGAAACCGUAUGCCCCACAGAAAGCCAAACCCGAUCCCCACUCCUCUUGGGACAUGAGAAAGGGAGGCCGCCGGGUGAAGCUGGAGAAGGGGUGGUCUGUGGAGGUCUCCCUUUGUGGAGCAGAGACCUUUGUUGCCACCUGAGGUAUGCAGGUCAGGAAUGCUGGUCUCAGGGCCCUCAGAGGGGACUCGGGAGAGGGGCUCGAGGAAAGCCAUAUGGUGGGGGUUACCUCGAACCCAUCUCCCAUUCCCACACUCUCCUAGAAUAGCUGCCUGCCCCAGGAAGUGGGCUUUUCUGCCAACUUUUCUUAUUAGCAGAGAACAGGCCCACACAAAUGCAAAAUAAAUAAGCGGCGACUCA